CUGCUGCCUUCCGUAGGAGUUUGGACCGUGUCUCAGUUCCAAUGUGGGGGACCUUCCUCUCAGAACCCCUACGCAUCGUCGGCUUGGUGGGCCGUUGCCCCACCAACUACCUAAUGCGCCGCAUGCCCAUCCGUGACCGGGGUCGCCCCCUUUGGCCCGGCAGGGGAUGUCCCCUCCCGGCAUUAUGUUGUAUUAGGCGGGAUUUCUCCCGGUUAUCCAUCUGUCACGGCCAGGUUGCAUACGUGUUACUCACCCGUGCGCCGGUCGCCGGCGG
rnacentral:rRNA from 1 species